AGCGGGUUGGUGUAAUGGUAACACAUCUGACUCAUGACCAGAUAAUUGAGGUUCAAAUCCUUAGUCCGCAU